AUGAACGCUGGCGGCGUGCCUAAUACAUGCAAGUCGCGCGAACAGAUAAGGAGCUUGCUCCUUUGACGUUAGCGGCGGACGGGUGAGUAACACGUGGGUAACCUACCUAUAAGACUGGGAUAACUUCGGGAAACCGGAGCUAAUACCGGAUAAUAUUUCGAACCGCAUGGUUCGAUAGUGAAAGAUGGUUUUGCUAUCACUUAUAGAUGGACCCGCGCCGUAUUAGCUAGUUGGUAAGGUAACGGCUUACCAAGGCGACGAUACGUAGCCGACCUGAGAGGGUGAUCGGCCACACUGGAACUGAGACACGGUCCAGACUCCUACGGGAGGCAGCAGUAGGGAAUCUUCCGCAAUGGGCGAAAGCCUGACGGAGCAACGCCGCGUGAGUGAUGAAGGUCUUCGGAUCGUAAAACUCUGUUAUUAGGGAAGAACAUACGUGUAAGUAACUGUGCACGUCUUGACGGUACCUAAUCAGAAAGCCACGGCUAACUACGUG
rnacentral:rRNA from 1 species